rnacentral:rRNA from 1 species
UACAGAGGGUGCAAGCGUUAAUCGGAAUUACUGGGCGUAAAGCGCACGUAGGCGGCUGGGUAAGUUGGAUGUGAAAUCCCCGGGCUUAACUUGGGAAUUGCAUUCAAGACUGCCUUGCUAGAGUGUGGAAGAGGGAAGCGGAAUUCCAGGUGUAGCGGUGAAAUGCGUAGAUAUCUGGAAGAACACCCGUGGCUAAGGCGGCUCUCUAGUACGGUACUGACGCUGAGACGCGAAAGCGUGGGGAGCGAACAGG